rnacentral:rRNA from 1 species
UACAGAGGUCCCAAGCGUUGUUCGGAUUCAUUGGGCGUAAAGGGUGCGUAGGUGGUGAUGCAAGUCUGGUGUGAAAUCUCGGAGCUUAACUCCGAAAUUGCACCGGAUACUGCGUUGCUCGAGGACUGUAGAGGAGAUCGGAAUUCACGGUGUAGCAGUGAAGUGCGUAGAUAUCGUGAGGAAGACCAGUUGCGAAGGCGGAUCUCUGGGCAGUUCCUGACACUGAGGCACGAAGGCCAGGGGAGCAAACGGG